rnacentral:rRNA from 1 species
GAUGAACGCUGGCGGCGUGCCUGAUACAUGCAAGUCGAGCGAACAGACGAGGAGCUUGCUCCUCUGACGUUAGCGGCGGACGGGUGAGUAACACGUGGAUAACCUACCUAUAAGACUGGGAUAACUUCGGGAAACCGGAGCUAAUACCGGAUAAUAUAUUGAACCGCAUGGUUCAAUAGUGAAAGACGGUUUUGCUGUCACUUAUAGAUGGAUCCGCGCCGCAUUAGCUAGUUGGUAAGGUAACGGCUUACCAAGGCAACGAUGCGUAGCCGACCUGAGAGGGUGAUCGGCCACACUGGAACUGAGACACGGUCCAGACUACUACGGGAGGCAGCAGUAGGGAAUCUUCCGCAAUGGGCGAAAGCAUGACGGAGCAACGCCGCGUGAGUGAUGAAGGUCUUCGGAUCGUAAAACUCUGUUAUUAGGGAAGAACAAAUGUGUAAGUAACUAUGCACGUCUUGACGGUACCUAAUCAGAAAGCCACGGCUAACUACGUG